CUGCGGUCGUAGAGGAGAUGAAGAUGGAGCAGGAAGGAAUUGUUCAUCAUCCUGAGCCGUGGAAGUCAGACGACACAUGGCUGAGACCUGUCAAACUCACCACCAUGUGCAGAGGCCCAGCUUGGUCCUCUGUCAGCGUGUUCCUGUGCCAAGCUGGACAGGCUCCUCAAGCCCUGAAGAAUUUUUGCCCUUUUGUCCUACUGUUAGCACUGACCAGCAGAGAAAGAACAUGACUGUGUUGGUGAAGUCUACAGUAGCCAAGCCAAAAAAGAAGAUUUUGUGGAGACUCUACUCCUGUUGCCGUUAGAUCCUGGAAGUGAUUCAUGGCGAACAUCAAGUAAUAUAAAAGCAAGUUCUUAAAUGCUGGUUACAGUUCAUCAUUGUCCAUAAAGGUCGCUUCCGAAAUGCCUGGCUACCCUGGACAUGGUAAGGAAAGGGCUUUCAUUAGGAAUGGAGCUCGUGAGCUAGCACUGCUAUCUGUAGAUUAUAAACCUCACUAGCUUUGCUGAAAUUGUAUCAAGUACCACUUUGGUGAUUGCUUGCCGGAAGGAUCAAUAAAAAUCUAUUUAAUAGGAAUAUACAACUUGUCUCAAAGCAGGUAGACAGACUUCUGGCUUUGGAUGGCACUAGAUA